CAUUUCCUUUUGUAAAAUGAAUCUUGCUUGUGUCAAGAAAAAGGUAAUGCCUUGUGAAAUAUUCUUUGGCCAGGAGCAAGUAUUGCCAAAGGGUCAUAAGCAUAUUUCCUCUGGACAAAAGCCUGCCACUGUGGGCCAAAGCCAUCAUUUCCUGUGGAAUAAGGCACUGCAGAGGAAAGGAAAGCCACUAAGUAGAAAAUAUCUUCCUCUGGAAUGACAACAGAGGUUCUGUUGUCCCACCUGCAACAAGAUCAAUAAUAAGCUUAAUGGUCAUUACCAUCUCAGGUGCUGGUUCCAGUGAUAUUCUUGCCCGUGUAAUGAUGCCAAACUGACCAAGUCCGCCAAGAACACUGUGAAAGAGGAACUUUCUUAAGGGGAGCACCAAGGGAGUGAAACACAAAGAAGUUACACAGCAGAUAGUCUACUGUGCUCAUAAGGUGCAUGUUGAUUACACCUGUCAAUCUAAUUUGAUCAUUUGACGCUGGUCUCAUUUUCUCAUAUAUCAACUACCAUCCUGUCAUGGAUGUCUAAAUAAGUAAAGAAAGUUGAAGUCUCGAUUACGCUGUCAACGUACCUGUAA